AGGGUUCGAUUCUGGCUCAGGAUGAACGCUGGCGGCGUGCUUAACACAUGCAAGUCGAACGGAGUUUAGAUGAAACCUAGUGAUUCUAAACUUAGUGGCGGACGGGUGAGUAACGCGUGGGUAACCUGCCAUAUACAGGGGGAUAACACUUAGAAAUAGGUGCUAAUACCGCAUAAGCGCACAGGACCGCAUGGUCUGGUGUGAAAAAACUCCGGUGGUAUAUGAUGGACCCGCGUCUGAUUAGCUAGUUGGUGAGGUAACGGCCCACCAAGGCGACGAUCAGUAGCCGGCCUGAGAGGGUGAACGGCCACAUUGGGACUGAGACACGGCCCAAACUCCUACGGGAGGCAGCAGUGGGGAAUAUUGCACAAUGGGGGAAACCCUGAUGCAAGCGACGCCGCGUGAGUGAAGAAGUAUUUCGGUAUGUAAAGCUCUAUCAGCAGGAAAGAAAAUGACGGUACCUGACUAAGAAGCCCCGGCUAACUACGUGCCAGCCGCUGC
rnacentral:rRNA from 1 species